rnacentral:rRNA from 1 species
AUUGAACGCUGGCGGCAGGCCUAACACAUGCAAGUCGAGCGGAGUUGCGAACGGGUGAGUAACACGUGGGUGACCUGCCCUGCACUUCGGGAUAAGCCUGGGAAACUGGUUCUAAUACCGGAUCGUGUGGGAUGGGGCAGCGUCCUAUCAUGCUGUUGGUGGGUUAAUGGCCUACCAAGGCGGCCACGGGUAGCCGGCCUGAGAGGGUGGACGGACACAUUGGGACUGAGACACGGCCCAGACUCCUACGGGAGGCAGCAGUGGGGAAUAUUGCACAAUGGGCGGAAGCCGGAUGCAGCGACGCCGCGUGGGGGAUGACGGCCUUCGGGUUGUAAACUCCUUUCACCAUCGACGCGGUAGAUGGAGAAGAAGCACCGGCUAACUACGGGCCAGCAGCCGCGGUAAUUC